rnacentral:lncRNA from 1 species
GGAGGUCAUAGGACAACUUUAUGGAGUCAGUUCUCUCCUUCCACUUUGUGAAUUCGGGGGAUUGAACUCAGAUUAUGUCAGGGUUGGCAGCAGACACCUUUGCCCACUAAGCCAUUCAACCACCUUUUUGUUUGUUUGUUUUUCAGACAGUAUUUCUCGCUGGUCUGGAACUCACCAAGUAGUCCAGCAAACACCAGAGUCACCCUCUCCACCUCCCCAGAGCUGGGACACAAGCCUGAGCUUUGAGCUUACAAGCUCCGACAUGAUCUGGCUGCAUUUUCAUCCUCUGAAUGGAAUCCUCCUGCAGUUUAGGGCUCUGCCUCAGAGCUGCUGGCAUCACUUACUGACCGACAUCUAGAUAAACAUCACCGCAGUGAACAUCUCAUCGUCAAGUCCACACACAUCCUUAAUUAUUU